rnacentral:rRNA from 2 species
ACGGGAGGCAGCAGUCGGGAAUAUUGCACAAUGGAGGAAACUCUGAUGCAGUGACGCCGCGUAUAGGAAGAAGGUCUUUGGAUUGUAAACUAUUGUCGACAGGGAAGAAAUUUGACAGUACCUGUGGAGGAAGCUCCGGCUAACUACGUGCCAGCAGCCGCGGUAAUACGUAGGGAGCGAGCGUUAUCCGGAUUUAUUGGGUGUAAAGGGCGCGUAGACGGUAUAGCAAGUUGGAUGUGAAAUCCCUAGGCUCAACUUAGGAACUGCAUCCAAAACUGUUUUACUUGAGUAUGGGAGAGGAAAGCGGAAUUCCUAGUGUAGCGGUGAAAUGCGUAGAUAUUAGGAGGAACACCAGUGGCGAAGGCGGCUUUCUGGACCAAAACUGACGUUGAGGCGCGAAAGUGUGGGGAGCAAACAGGAUUAGAUACCCUGGUA